GGGGGUUUUUGUUAAACUGAUAUUCAAGGUCAAAACACCAGUCCCCACUGAGGAUGAUGUCCUUGGUGCCGUCAAGAAGCAAUUGUCUCCUCAAUUCACGACCACUCAAACCACCUUCCAGAAUGCAACUUAUAUCAAACUUACAGAUACUUCAUUUGCCAUCGACCUUGGUUUCAAAAUAACCAAUGUAACCCAGGAGUCUCUAAGUAAUAGACUCACACUCACCAAUGAGACCGAAACCCAGAUACAGGAUUCAAUUAACAGACUACUCCAAAAGGUUCUCAGUGAACCAGAUGGCAAACAGUUUAAAUUUCCCAAUGCCAACCUCAUUGUUGAUGGCACUGAAAUCAGGGCAAACGUGACGUAUGUAUACAAAGAGGAAGAUGUCAACCACCCUAGUGGUUUUCUACAGGAACUCUUAAAAGUCUCAGGUCUCCUAACCACCACUGUUGCCCCAACAACAACUACCAACACCACUCCACUUCCUACCCUUUUGACUUCAGUGACAUCAACAACUAGAUUCGACACAGUGGGGGGUUUU